rnacentral:lncRNA from 1 species
UAUCUUAAAUAGCGAAGAAGGAGAAAUAUUCAAUAAUGAAGAGCAUGAAUAUGCAUCCAAAAAAAGAAAAAGGACCAUUUUAGAAAUGACACAAAUACUCAAAGUUUUUAUCAUGAAAAAUGUAUCUAUGUCCAUAAAGAAAGCACAAAAGAAAGGCAUGGCUAUUGCACCUUGGGAGAAGCCUUUAAUCGGUUAGACUUCUCAAGUGCAAUUCAAGAUAUCCGAAGGUUCAAUUAUGUGGUCAAA